GGAUAACCUACCCUUAGGACUGGGAUAACCCUGGGAAACUGGGGAUAAUACUGGAUAGGCAAUUAUUCCUGUAAUGGUUUUUUGUUUAAAUGUUUUUUCGCCUAAGGAUGGGUCUGCGGCCGAUUAGGUAGUUGGUUAGGUAAUGGCUUACCAAGCCUUUGAUCGGUACGGGUUGUGAGAGCAAGAGCCCGGAGAUGGAACCUGAGACAAGGUUCCAGGCCCUACGGGGUGCAGCAGGCGCGAAACCUCCGCAAUGUGAGAAAUCGCGACGGGGGGAUCCCAAGUGCCAUUCUUAACGGGAUGGCUUUUCAUUAGUGUAAAGAGCUUUUGGAAUAAGAGCUGGGCAAGACCGGUGCCAGCCGCCGCGGUAACACCGGCAGCUCUAGUGGUAGCAGUUUUUAUUGGGCCUAAAGCGUCCGUAGCCGGUUUAAUAAGUCUCUGGUGAAAUCCUGCAGCUUAACUGUGGGAAUUGCUGGAGAUACUAUUAGACUUGAGAUCGGGAGAGGUUAGAGGUACUCCCAGGGUAGAGGUGAAAUUCUGUAAUCCUGGGAGGACCGCCUGUUGCGAAGGCGUCUGACUGGAACGAUUCUGACGGUGAGGGACGAAGGCUAGGGGCGCGAACCGGAUUAGAUACCCGGGUAGUCCUAGCUGUAAACGAUGCGGACUUGGUGUUGGGGUGGCUUUGAGCUGUCCCAGUGCCGAAGGGAAGCUGUUAAGUCCGCCGCCUGGGAAGUACGGUCGCAAGACUGAAACUUAA
rnacentral:rRNA from 1 species